rnacentral:rRNA from 1 species
GUAAGGAAUAUUGGACAAUGGACGCAAGUCUGAUCCAGCCAUGCCGCGUGAAGGAUUAAGGUCCUCUGGAUUGUAAACUUCUUUUAUAAGGGACGAAAAAAGGCUUUUCUAAGUCGUCUGACGGUACCUUAUGAAUAAGCACCGGCUAACUCCGUGCCAGCAGCCGCGGUAAUACGGAGGGUGCAAGCGUUAUCCGGAUUCACUGGGUUUAAAGGGUGCGUAGGCGGGCAGGUAAGUCAGUGGUGAAAUCCUAGAGCUUAACUCUAGAACUGCCAUUGAUACUAUCUGUCUUGAAUAUUGUGGAGGUAAGCGGAAUAUGUCAAGUAGCGGUGAAAUGCUUAGAUAUGACAUAGAACACCUAUUGCGAAGGCAGCUUACUACGCAUAUAUUGACGCUGAGGCACGAAAGCGUGGGGAUCAAACAGGAUUAGAAACCCCAGUAGUCC